ensembl:lncRNA
UUUUCCUAUUUUUAUUAAUUUGCUUGUUUCUUUGACACAUCGUUGGCUUUGCAGGAAAAAGUAAUAAAGACACAGAUUAUGGUCAUCUGUAUGGAAUAAACAAAGUUUUUUUUUCACCUCAAGGGAAUUACAUAGCAGGAUGUGGUACUAAUGGUAUUAUUUAUAUAUAUGAUUUAAACUUAAAUAAAUUAUUAACCGAAAUUUACACAAACAUUGAUUAUAUCAAUGAUUUGAUAAUUAGUGAUAAUGACAAAUAUAUUUAUGUAUGUGGUAAAAAUAAACGUAUUGAAAUAUUUGAUUUAUUUAAUUAUAAAAGAAUUCGUAAUAAUAAAAUGAAAAUAUCUGUGGAUAGAUCUUUAAAUGAGAUACCUUCUGAUUUAUAUUUUAACUUUCUUGUAAAAAAUAAUAAAAACUUAGUUCGCUCUUUUAGUAAUAAUGAAGUACUAAGAAAUUUAAUAAAAAAUAAAUACAUUCGAAGUAACAAAGUUGGAUAUACAGAUUUUAGUAAUAAAAAAACAAUCAAGAAUCCUAUAUACAAAUAUGAUGAUAUAAUGCACUCGGAUUUAAAUAUGAUAAAAAAAAGAAUCAGUAAAAGAACAUAUAUAUACGAUUAUGUGCAUAAACCUAUAUAUGAUAUCGAAAAUUCACAUGAGUAUAGUUCUACUUGUUUAGGAAUUGAAAAUAAAAGCAAUUUUUUACUUUACUCUGGAGGGGGGGAUGGAGUUUUAAAUAUAUGGGAUUUAAGAAUGAAUUUGUAUGAUGUAAAUAAAAAAUUAAAAUACAAUAAAAAAAAUAAACAUUAUAAUCGUAGUAAUAGUAAUAAUAGUGAAAACAAUAGUGGUAAUGUAUCUUAUAAUAUUAAAAACCCUUAUGUUAGUAUAUAUUCGCAUGGAGAUGCAUUAACGAGUAUUAGUUUUAAUAAUAACGUGAGUAGUAUGACUACGUGUGUUCUCACACAAGGCGACGAGAUAUUUAACGAUGUAAUGACAAACGGUGUAGCAACAAACGGUGUAGCAACAAACGAUGCAGCGGCAAACGAUAAUACAAGCAAUGUUUGUGAAGAACAAAAAAUAAUAGAAGAAAGAGAAAGUCAAGUAUUAAAAAACGGUGGUAAUAGCAGUAAUAAUUUUAAUUUAGAAGAAUGUAUAGAUUCAGAAAGUAUUGAUAAUGAAAAUAUGUAUGAAGAUAAAUCUGUUAAAAAUAAUAAUGAGAUUUUAAAGGUAAAGUAUGAUAAAACAUAUGAGGGUAGUACUACAAGUCGUAGUAGUAGUAGUAGUAGUAGCCGUAGUAGCCGUAGUAGCCGUAGUAGUCAUAGUAGCCGUAGUAGUGAUAGUAGUGCUUCUUUUUCAUCCUCUAGUUCUAUGUUUAAACGUGACUACAACACACAAAAUAAUAUACCUAGCGUUAUUAUGACAAGUGGCUACGAUGGUCAUAUUCGAUUAUUCGAUAUGAACUAUAACAUAAUUCAAUCAUUUUUUGAUGAAGAAAAACAAAUAACCCAUAGUAUGUUUACGAAAAACAAUAAAUAUAUUAUUAGUACAAAUAAUACAAAAAAUUCAAAAAUGUUUGAUUUUAUAUAUAUGAAUAAUAAAAGUAGUACAAAAAGUAUGUUAACUUAUUUAAAGAAUUAUCCAUCUUAUACUGAAAUCGAUGAAUAUCUUGGCAGAUAUAGUGGGGAUACAAUUGUGAGUGUUAGCGAUAGUGCCUACCUGGGUAGUACUAGCAGUAAUAAUAGUAGUAUUAGUAUUAGUAGUAUUAUUAGUAGUAUUAGUAGUAAUAAUAGUAAUAAUAGUAAUAAUAGUAAUAAUAGUAAUAAUAGUAAUAAUAGUAAUAAUAGUAAUAAUAGUAAUAAUAGUAAUAAUAGUAAUAAAAGUAGUAGUAAUAAUAAUAGUAACAAUAGUAUUAAAAGUAGUAGUAGUAGUAAUAAUAGUAAUAAAAGUAAUAGAAGUAGUAGUAGUAGUAAUAGUAAUAAUAGUAAUAAAAAUAGUAGUAGUAGUAGUAGUAAUAAUAAUAGUAAUGAUAUUUUGUUUUCCUAUGAAGAUUUUUUAAAAAGUACUAGCUAUGAAAGCAGUUCUAACAAUUACUCAGUAGGUGAGUCAAGUUGCUCAUACAAUAAUUAUGAUAGUGAUGAUAGUAAGAUAGCAGACAUUCGUCAAGAUGAGGAAUUAAAAAAUGAUAUACAUGGUGUAAAUGUGUUUUAUAAAAUUGAUAUUCAUGGUGAGACUAGAAGGACGUAUAGUGAUAGUGGAAGUAGCACUGGAUGGCGCUUUAAGCAAGAUUUAGAUAGCAGAAAUUAUAGUAGUGAUUCAAGUAAUUUUAAUGAUGAUGGUAUAACAGAAUAUGAUUAUUACCAACGCCUAAAUAAAAAAAUGGAACCUAUGUGGUCCUAUUUUGUGCAUAAUAUGAAAUACAGGUGUCUUAUACCAUACGAAGAUAUAAUAGAAAGUUUAAAAAAUAAUCAUGUAUAUGCGAAAAAAUAUUCUACCUAUUUCAAUAGUUAUACUACGAAUUUUAAUGAAAAAACUAAUGAAGCACCAAAGAUGAUUGAUGAACAAGAUUUUUAUAUAUAUAAACGUUUAUCAGAAUUUUUAAAUAUUAAUGGUAAUAAUAAAUCUGAUAACGAUGAUAGUGUUGAUAUAGAUGUUUAUAAAAUGAGUCAUAAUAGCAAUAGUCAUCGUGAUAGUAAAACAUGUUAUCCUAAAUUUUAUUCUUGUAUAGCUGGAGAUAAAUGCAUAAUACCUUCUAAUGAUACAUAUGCACAUGUAUAUGAUAUAUAUACAGGCAUACAUAUUAACAACAUACAUAAUUUAUACAUGCCUAACUACAAUAUUGAUUGUGAUAUGGGUGAUCACGGCUAUAUGGGUUAUACUCACAUUGACACAAUAAAUUCAGAUGAAAUGUAUUUAAAAAAUAGAUAUAUAUCUUAUAUAACUAGUGUGCAUGCAUACCCAAAGAACGAAAAUAUUAUUGCAACUUCGAAUGGAUAUCCAGAUGGUUCUAUCAUUCUAUGGCUUUUUUCUCCAUUUGAAUUU